UGCGUAGGCGGGCUAAUUAGUCAGUGUUGAAAACCUGCAGCUUAACUGUAGACUUGCCAUUGAUACUGUUAGUCUUGAGUACGGUCAAGGUAGGCGGAAUGUGUAAUGUAGCGGUGAAAUGCUUAGAUAUUACACAGAACACCGAUUGCGAAGGCAGCUUACUGGGCCAUUACUGACGCUGAGGCACGAAAGCGUGGGGAGCAAACAGGAUUAGAUACCCUGGUAGUCC
rnacentral:rRNA from 1 species